AUGUACAAGUAUAAGUAUGGUGAUCGACACAUAACUAUCUACAUCGGUCCAUGCCUCCAUCUACCUAGCCGUCGCGACUCAUCUGGCAGUGCCGCCGCCUCCUCGACCCUAGGCGACGAAUUCAUCAUCUGGUGCCCCGGCCGGCAGCCGCCAGCAAAUAAGCAGCCAGGCAGCAUCUGCAGUCCUCGGUCACCCCGCACAUCUCCACCGCACGUAGGCGCGCCCCCACACGCAACUACGGAACGACUUCGUCUUCGACCCCGAGCAGCUGAUACAGUGGUCACGCCAUUAGUACGCACGACCAGCUACGGGCUUAGCGCCUUCGACGAAGCGAUCGUACACUACAGACCAACCGAUCCAUUUUUUUUAUCUGAGACCAGCCGAUCCUACUCCCGCCUGCCGCAUGCGUCCCGUUGCCCUGCGAUCGGCAUCGACCAGAGCGCCAUGUUCGAUGAACCAGAGCUAGUUCUUGCAGUCGAUUCAGAGUCGUCGUCGAUGUUUCAAAUCCACUUCCGAGCUUGGAGCCAUGUCCUCGAAACAGGAAACACCACCUUCUUAAGCAUCUCUGCACCAAUCCUUGUUUCCCGGUUUCUGCAAACCUACAUGACACACCUUCACACGCCUUCUGACCUCGCUAGACGCACGAGCUGCCGCCUCACCUCCCUAAGCAGGACACAUACCCUAACCAAACUAAAAGAACACCUAAAAAUGAAACAUGAGUCCUCCCGCCAACAAGGGCCAGAUCCAUCACGCCUCCAUGACAGUAAGUCACAUGAGAUGAGGCAGACUAGUGGCGGUGCCGGCGGGGAGGGAGCAAUCAAGCCCCCCCCCCCCACGGAGGGCAUCUCCUUCCUCUCGUCGGGAAGAAGCAGGACGGCGGCAGUUGGGCGGAGCUGCAGGCGAGGAACGGCAGCGGCCGCCGCCGUCUUGAGGCCUCGUCUGCUCGGCGCCUCCGGCAAGCUGAUGCCCGCAACCAGCAGGCCCCUCACGCCGCCGUCCCCUGCCUCCACUUCUUCUCCUUUCUUCUCUCUUGUUCUCUGCAGGAAGCCGCCAUGGAUGGAUGGAGUUCCAGCGCGCCGCCUAGCUUGCCUACACCCCCACCUCCGGCCACCUACGCUCGCCGCCGUCCCGUUCCCGUCCAGACGCGAGGACAACGGCACUCGGAGCGCAAGCCUGCGACCCAUGCCCGCCUCCGUUUGCCGCCUGCAGGGCGCCUCCUGUGGCGGCCUUGAGCGCCGCCGCGACGGCCUCGUGCAGAAGACAACGAGCGAGGCGCCCUCCCUCCUCCCGCGCAUUGUCGAUGAACUUCCGGCUGCCGUCCCAGCGUUGCCCCGGCUGCGUCGAGCUUUCCAAGGGCGUCACCCCGCGUGCUACAGAGAAGGAGGCGUGCCGCCGUCCCAGCGCUGCCCUAGCUGGUCGCUGAGCAGUGUGGCUCCCAGUAGAGUCGGGGUCGUAGAGGAGGGCGCGGCCUUGUGGUCCAUAGCUUGCCGGAGCUUCAAAGUGCGACCCGGGCGCGCCGAGCAGGAGGCCAAGGCGCUGUGCCGCGGGCACGCCGAGCAGGAGGCCGUGGGGCUGUGCCGCAGGCGCGCCGACCUGCUCGCGGUCACCGUCCGCCACCACGACACGCUCAGGGGAACGCACGCCGCGCUCGACUGCUCGCUCAUGUCCAUCUCCUGCCUGCUCCACCUCCUCCUCGUCUCCAUGUCCGCCCUGCCGGGGCUCACGCUCCCUGCCACGGCAUCCCGAUGCGACUCAAAAAAAUUCGCCUUACAGCGCCACCGUAAGCCCCCGCCGCCAGCCCACAAGGGAGUCCCGGCCGCCGGUUCUCCGAUGCUCUUCGCCUCCCUCGAAGGUCGGAUCUCGCCGCCGUCCCGAACUCGCCGGCUCUCUCCACCCAUGAGGUCUCAUCUCUCCCAAGGAUCCUCUCCAACCCGAAGUUCCUCGCGGAGGGCACCGACUGACACCGGCAUGCGGAGGCGAGGCAGGCCGCCCCUCCUCCGACUGUCCAACCAUAGCAGCGUGGCUCCUCCGACGAGCGAAGGGGCUCUCCUCUCCCAUCGGCCGGCGCCUCGACUCCGACUCCUACAGCUCGCGCCGGACAACAUCCUCCGCCCCCAAAUCUUAACACACUGUAUUCCUCCGGACAUCGUCGUGAACCUCCAAGAAGAUAAGCCAACCUUCAUGUGUAUCUCCCGUUAUAUCUCUACUCUAUUCUUCUCUGCUCUGUUUUUCAGGAAGAAGUUGGAUUGGUGGUCGUUUCCGGUUUUCAGCAUGCAGAUGGGUAUGCCAACGGUUGUUCCUUGGUUGAACUAUGCAACGCAUCUCGCUGAAUUCCAAGCAGUACUAUUUUGGGUUAGUAGUUUAUAUUCAUGCCUGAAUAUGUUCGAGAUGCAUUGCAUUGCGGCACCAUCAACGGUUCAGCCGACUGUCAAACACACAGACGCGCCGCACAUCGAAGGCGAAAGGCGCCCAACUCUCAAGGGUGGAAGCAGAAAAAAAAGAAGCCAUUGGAAUAAUCGGAUCCUUUUCAGGGGCUAA
rnacentral:rRNA from 1 species